rnacentral:lncRNA from 1 species
AAGUGCUUUUACUUCUCCAUACAAACAUGUUAACUAGAGUACAAACAAUUUUUUUUUUUUACAAGAUAGAUGUCAGAAUAUAUUUUAUUUAUAUAUAUGAUUUUACUUUAGUAUUUAAUUAUAUUUUUUAUUUAUUUGAGUAAUUAUUUAGUAAAUUUUAAUAUAUUAUUGUAGAUGCAAGGAAUUUCUAAAGUUGGAAGGAAUUGAAGAAAUAAAGUAUAGUUGAAUUUCUUGGUAGUUACAACAAAUGCCUUUGCAAGGGUAAUUUGGCCACCAAGUUGCCUUGUAACUGAAUUAGGAUUAACCAUUUCAUAACCACUACUUGAUCAUUCGUUUAUCAAUUUUGUUGCUAGGUCUGUAUUUCUUCUCUUGUAAAAUUAUUUGAAAGCUUAAAUAUCAAAAAGAGAUAAACAUUUCUUGAUUAGUCCAUAUUUUUGCAAAUUUAAGUGCCUAUUUUUUGUUUAUUUUCGUAGUAUUAAUCGCUUAUUUAUUUUAUUUCAGGAAAUUGUAGAUAAAUAAAGAAAGAAGAGAAAAUGCAAGAAAAAGAAGAAAAGGGAAAAGAAAAGAAGAAAAUCAAAAAGAGUUGGCAAGUAAGGGGGCACAUGGAGGGUUAUGAUCUACCCAACACAUAUGGCACAUGGAUGGACAAGAUUCAGCCACCCUACCCCUAAACCCUAAAUCUUUAGCUAUAAAUCCCCCAUCUCUUUACUUGUAAUGAUCAUCUUUUUAACCUAGUCUUUUCCUAGUUGGUAGGUAGUAUAGUGCUAGAUCUUCUUUUGUUCUAUCAAUUUCAUACCAUAUUUGUAAACACUUUUAUUUUUAAUGCGAAUCUUCUUUAAGCUUAAUCUUGUAUUGUCUUAAAUUUCUUGCUCCAAGUGAAAUGUUGCUUCUUAGUACCACCAUAUGCUUAAUUGCUUUUUGGGAAAAAAAGAAGUCAUUGAGCUUGUGAUUAGUGUAGAUCUCUUAAUUUUUAGUUUUAAUUUUUAAGAAGUAAUUAAAACUCUAGCACAAAAGAUUAUUUGUGUGGGGGUUUAUUAUUUCCGAUGACAAAAACUAUAAUAUAGUAAUGUUAAUCUGCAUUCUCUUUUAGUUUAUUUAAUCGACUUAAACCCACCGUUCUUUAAUCCAAAAACUUAGUUUAUUACACCUCUGUUUUGUUUUAUAAACAAACAACAGAACAACCCCAAACCCCUGCUUCUUGUUUCGUGUUACACCCAUUGCUCUGUUUUGUUGGGUUUAGUACCGACUCAUCUGUACUCGUUUUGCCAGAGUUUGUUGCUCUGUUUUGAUUUUGCUGCGACUUUCGGUUCUUGAGAUUUAUUAUUGCUGCGUUUUGUUAUGUUUUGAGUCAAGUUACUUCCCUGGGUUUUGUUGUGAGUUAUGCCUGCGAGUUGUUGACUGAGUUUGGUUCCGAGUCUGCCAUGGCCGAGUUGCCUCCGAGUUCUGUCCUGUUUGUUGAAUAGGUAGUCGAAUCUGUUGAUACUGUUGUGUAGUUAAGUUUUUGUUUUAGCUGAGUCGCGAGGCUGAUUUCUUCGAGUCAGCAUCUGGGUUGGUUCGUCGAGUUUGUUUGCUUAUUGUGUCUUUCUGUAUUUCAUUUUUUGUGCCGAGUUUAGGAGUCAGUUUGUAGUUGGGUUCUGAUUGCUGCGAUUUGUAGUUUCCAUUCUGAGUUGUUGCUGCGUUUAGUUUGUUCCGAGGCUGUUCUUUUAGUCAUAGAAAUCGAGUCCUGAGUUCUGUUUUAGUUGAGUGUUAGUCGAGUUUACUGAGUUUUGAGUGUUUGAAUGCUUCUUCCGUUUUUGUCGAGUUGUGUUGAGUUUAUGGCUGAGUUGCUGCUUUGUUGAUUCGAUUGUAGCUCUGUUUUUGUUUCGUUUCCGAGUCUAGUUCAUGAGCCUGUAUGCUGAGUUUUCAUCGCUGUGAUCUCACCUGCUCUGUUUUAAGUUUUGUCGACCUCGUUUGACCUGUUUUGUUCCUUAGUUUAGUUUUGUAGUUUGAUUUUUCCGAGUCAUUAGCCUGGGUCUAGUACGAGUUCUGCUGCAUUUUUUUUAAUCAAAGCUGCGUCUAUAGUUUAGUCCACUGUCUUGUUAGUCCUUUUGCCAUGGUUUGUUAGUUUAAUCUUAUUUUACCGAGUCAAUUUGUUUCUUUUUGGCACGAGUCAUUUUGGUUUCUUGUUUUUGGUUUCGUGUUAAUCAAAAUAGCAGUACAAAGUGGGUUUGUUUAGUCGAGUAGCUACUUUGGUUUUUGUUUUUAUUAUUUUCAUUUCAUUUUAUUUUUUUUACUUUUCCUCCUCCUUUCGACAAUACGUUUUUCUAAUUUAACAAAAAAAAUGAUGAAAUUUUGUUAGUGUUGUUCUCGAGAAUAUAAAACCGAGUUUUCAGUAAUUUUAGAAAAAGUCAUUUUCACAACUUAAAAUUGGUUCUAAUUCGCCUAGGUUUUAAGUAAAGAAUUGCGAAAAAUAAUUUUAAUCUCUGUGGAUCGAAUCAUAAAUAUUAAAACGGUGAUCGUGCGCUUGCGAUUUAAAUGUAUUAUUUCUAGCACAUCAUUUCUCAAUUACAAUCAUGUUGUCAACUUAACUAACACAGAUCAGAAUAGUUAAAACUUUUUUAUGAAAAAUGUAAUAGAAACUGAAUUCAAUUAAACUUUCUUUGGCAAUUACAACUUAUUUACUUAGUUUAUGUUAAGUAGAAAAUAUUGUCACAGCCAGACUAUGUCUUUUGUAGUGUUAGAAUAACUAUCCUGUAAUAAGAAUAUUUUUGGAAGAAGUUCAUUAAUUUGUUCAUGUCUCAAGUCGCACAUUUGAGUGACAACAAGAAUGAAUGAAUGUUACUGUCAGUUGUUUGACAGUAAAACUACAGAAGACAGACAGUUGCAGGUAAUGACAUAAGGUUUAUAUUUGACAGCAACAUUGGUGGAAACUCCACAUACAACAAGUUUCGUACGCAAGACAGCAAGACUUGUAUUUCCUGACAGCAUCAUCUUCAGGGAAUCACUGUCAUCUAAAGUCCAUGGUUUGACAGCAAGUACUGGUGUCUCUAAGUCACUGUUAUAGGAGAUACUAGUUGAUUUGAAUUAUUAUCAAGUCAAAUCCUGUGGCAGAUAAAGAUGUUGAAAGCUCAAGGACGAUGCUGCAAAAAAUUUAUUUUGUAGCCCACCUGCAAAUACUACGAUAGAAGCUCAAGAGUAUACAAAGCAUUGGAUCGCCGUUGAAAAGUGUCAAGUCACCAUCCACUAGGAUUUGAUAAGCUUAUAAUAAAAUGUAUCCUAAGUUUCUUUUCAUACGAUGUAAUAUUUGUUUGAUUAACAUUUUUAAGAAAGUCACAUGGGCUGCAAUUUGUUAGCAGAUGCAAAGUAGCUGCUUUGCAAUCCUACAGGAUCCAUGUUGAUAGUGAUGUUUUAAGAUAGCAAGUCAUAUAGAAAAACAUUACCAGUUCUAUUGUAACAAUCUGAGAGAGCACCAUUAUAACUCUUGAGAGAACCGAAACUCAAGAAACACUUUCUUGAUGUUGUAGCAACACAACGAAAUAAAUAAUAUAUUUAUUUUGUGAAGUUAA